UCGGAUCUAGUGGCGGACGGGUUAGUAACGCGUGGGAACGUACCCUUCACUACGGAAUAGUCCCGGGAAACUGGGUUUAAUACCGUAUACGCCCUUCGGGGGAAAGAAUUUCGGUGAGGGAUCGGCCCGCGUUAGAUUAGUUAGUUGGUGGGGUAAUGGCCUACCAAGACUACGAUCUAUAGCUGGUUUGAGAGGAUGAUCAGCAACACUGGGACUGAGACACGGCCCAGACUCCUACGGGAGGCAGCAGUGGGGAAUCUUAGACAAUGGGGGCAACCCUGAUCUAGCGAUGCCGCGUGAGUGAUGAAGGCCUUAGGGUCGUAAAGCUCUUUCGCCUGUGAUGAUAAUGACAGUAGCAGGUAAAGAAACCCCGGCUAACUCCGUGCCAGCAGCCGCGGUAAUACGGAGGGGGUUAGCGUUGUUCGGAAUUACUGGGCGUAAAGCGCACGUAGGCGGAUUAGUCAGUAUGAGGUGAAAUCCCGAGGCUCAACCUCGGAACUGCCCUGUAAACUGCUAGUCUUGAGUUCGAGAGAGGUAAGUGGAAUUCCGAGUGUAGAGGUGAAAUUCGUAGAUAUUCGGAGGAACACCAGUGGCGAAGGCGGCUUACUGGCUCGAUACUGACGCUGAGGUGCGAAAGUGUGGGGAGCAAACAGGAUUAGAUACCCUGGUAGUCCACACCGUAAACGAUGAAUGCCAGUCGU
rnacentral:rRNA from 1 species